ACAACGUAAUCACAUUGUAUUGUUUGAAUCGUUUGCCUUUUGGUUUGUUAAUCAUGUCUUUGGUUAUUGUAAUUUACUGAUUGAUUUUCAUAUAACCUUUAGACUUGUUUAACCUUAGAGUUGCUGUUAACCGCUACUUUUGUGAUCAGUAAUUUGACUUUAAUCGUUAAUCCAUGUCAUUUGUUAAGUGGUCAUCUUGAUACGAAAAUUGGUACCUUAAAUGUUGGUGUGUUUCAGUUGUGAUCAAUUGAGAAAAAUGAAGCCAAUUUAAGACAAUUGCUGGGAUCUACAAGUGAAAAGACAAGCAUAAUUAUUAGAAAUGCCUUACCAUGGUUUAUCCACCAAACUUUCUUGUACAUGAAUGCCAUAAAUUUGUCUGGUCCAAGUAAAACAAAAGAGGAAAAAUGGAUUAAUGCGGAAAUAUAGUGAAUACAAUGGAAUUUCUAAAUACAGGUUGAUAUCAUGAUGUGUUAAAUAAUGAUUGCUGUCAUCUGAGAAGAUAUAGAGCCUUGGACAAACAGGAAACCCAAUUGUGUGCUGAAUGGUCUUUUUUGCUGCUUUUCAAAUGGUUGCAAUUUAAUUUAAAAGAAUCAUCAUGCCCAGGUAAACAUGUGUCGGUAAUAAGAUGAUGAUAAUGGUGGCGAUGGAACAGGAGAGAAAUUCAAUUUUUAUUGGAAAAAAUUGUUACGAGCAAAUGGGAGUAUAAUUUUACUCCAACAAUUUGAACAUUAUUUAUUCAACAUUUAUCCUGAUUCCUCAUGAAUUAAGGAUUGUCAAGAUGAUAGUGGUAAUGAUAGUGUAAACUCUUACUCUGAAAAAAAUUGGAAUCAAAAGAGAAACUUGUUGGAACCUAAACUCAGUCACACAGCAAACAGCUAAUUCAAAGAAUCGUGUUGAUAAAGAUCCUGAUGAAUGGAGUAAAGUAAAGCAAAAAUGAGGAGAGAAAAUCCGCUAACAAAGACUUUACAUGAACAUUAUUAAAUUAUCAUGUCGAGUAUUGUGUUUCCUUUUUUACAGCAACAAUUUCAAUCCCACCAACAUUCAACUCAAAAUUGGAAAAUUCAUACAAUAGCUGCUUAGCUAUUCAAUUAAAUUAAAACUCAGGCUUCGAGCAAGAAUACAAUAUUUUUGGAUGGUUGCAAGGUAUUUAUCUUGACUAAUCAAAUGGCAAAUUCAACGAAAAAAUCACAUCUUUAAUUACUCUAAUAACAUGUUCAUCGCUUAAUAAUUCAAAAUUGCUCUUUUCACCUGAAAAAAGUCAAUUAGGAUUUUAAUUGAGUCUACUGUACACAUUAAUGAUAUCUAGAUGGAGAUCAUUUUGCUUUACCCAAUGGCUUGGUUAAAUGUAUUUUGAGGGAUUUAUAUUUGAUCUUUCCAAUACUGGUCAAGCUGUUAUUUUAUGAUAACUUUGGUCAAACAGCGAUGACAACCUAUUGACUGUUGUAUCAACUAGGAUAACCUGGAAUAGUACACUAAAACAAUUGGGAUUCCAAUGAAUAUUAAAA